AUUGAACGCUGGCGGCAGGCCUAACACAUGCAAGUCGAACGAGUGGCGGACGGGUGAGUAAUGUCUGGGAAACUGCCUGAUGGAGGGGGAUAACUACUGGAAACGGUAGCUAAUACCGCAUACUAUUGGAUGAACCCAUAGGGGAUUAGCUAGUAGGUGAGGUAAUGGCUCACCUAGGCGACGAUCCCUAGCUGGUCUGAGAGGUUGAUCAGCCACACUGGGACUGAGACACGGCCCAGACUCCGACGGGAGGCAGCAGUGGGGAAUAUUGCACAAUGGGCGCAAGCCUGAUGCAGCCAUGCCGCGUGUGUGAAGAAGUCCCUAGGGUUGUAAAGCACUGUCAGUCGGGAGGCGUUACCGGCAGAAGAAGCACCGGCUAACUCCGUGCCAGCAGCCGCGGUAAUAC
rnacentral:rRNA from 1 species